rnacentral:rRNA from 1 species
UUGGAGGGCAAGUCUGGUGCCCGCACCCGCGGUAAUUCCAGCUCCAAUAGCGUAUAUGAAAAUUGUUGCAGUUAAAAAGCUCGUAGUUGAAUUUCUGCUGCAUUGCUUUUGCUCCUUUACGAGUCUUUGCAUUGUGGCUUAUUUCGGACUUUGUUUUACAAUGUCCGGAUGUUUACUUUGAGAAAAUUAGAGUGCUCAAAGCAGGCUUUCGCCUUGAAUAGUUUAGCAUGGAAUAAUAAAGUAGGACUUUGGUUCUAUUUUGUUGGUUUUAGGUACCAAAGUAAUGGUUAAUAGGAACAGUUGGGGGCAUUCGUAUUUAACUGUCAGAGGUGAAAUUCUUAG